AUUGAACGCUGGCGGCAUGCCUUACACAUGCAAGUCGAACGGCAGCGGACCUUCGGGUGCCGGCGAGUGGCGAACGGGUGAGUAAUGCAUCGGAACGUACCUUUCAGUGGGGGAUAACGUAGCGAAAGUUACGCUAAUACCGCAUAUUCUGUGAGCAGGAAAGCAGGGGAUCGCAAGACCUUGCGCUGAUUGAGCGGCCGAUGUCAGAUUAGCUAGUUGGUGAGGGAAAGGCUCACCAAGGCGACGAUCUGUAGCGGGUCUGAGAGGAUGAUCCGCCACACUGGAACUGAGACACGGUCCAGACUCCUACGGGAGGCAGCAGUGGGGAAUUUUGGACAAUGGGGGCAACCCUGAUCCAGCCAUGCCGCGUGAGUGAAGAAGGCCUUCGGGUUGUAAAGCUCUUUCGGCCGGGAAGAAAUCGCACGGGCUAAUACCCUGUGUAGAUGACGGUACCGGAAUAAGAAGCACCGGCUAACUACAUGCCAGCCGCCGCCGUAACAC
rnacentral:rRNA from 1 species